rnacentral:rRNA from 1 species
GCUAGCGUUGUUCGGAAUUACUGGGCGUAAAGCGCGCGUAGGCGGCUUUGUAAGUUAGAGGUGAAAGCCCGGAGCUCAACUCCGGAAUUGCCUUUAAGACUGCAUCGCUAGAAUCAUGGAGAGGUGAGUGGAAUUCCGAGUGUAGAGGUGAAAUUCGUAGAUAUUCGGAAGAACACCAGUGGCGAAGGCGACUCACUGGCUCGUAUCUGACGCUCAGGCGCGACAGCGUGGGGAUCAAACAGG